UCACAAUGCAUUUACACGCUUCCUGCUGUGCUGCCUAAAAUGCUGUUUCUGGUGCCUAGAGCACUUCAUCAAGUUUAUGAACAGGAAUGCUUACAUUAUGAUUUCAAUAUAUGGGAAGAAUUUCUGUGCCUCAGCGCGAGACGCUUUCUUCCUGUUAAUGAGGAACGUUAUGAGAGUUGCUGUUCUAGACAAGGUGACUGACUUCCUGCUGUUCUUGGGGAAACUGCUGAUCUCAGGGAGUGUGGGUGUCCUUGCAUUCUUUUUCUUCACCCGCCAAAUACCA